GACGAACGCUGGCGGCGUGCUUAACACAUGCAAGUCGAACGGAAAGGCCCUGCUUUUGUGGGGUGCUCGAGUGGCGAACGGGUGAGUAACACGUGAGUAACCUGCCCUUGACUUUGGGAUAACUUCAGGAAACUGGGGCUAAUACCGGAUAGGAGCUCCUGCUGCAUGGUGGGGGUUGGAAAGUUUCGGCGGUUGGGGAUGGACUCGCGGCUUAUCAGCUUGUUGGUGGGGUAGUGGCUUACCAAGGCUUUGACGGGUAGCCGGCCUGAGAGGGUGACCGGCCACAUUGCGACUGAGAUACGGACCAGACUCCUAUGGGAGGCAGUAGUGGGGAAUAUUGCACAAUGGGCGGAAACCUGAUGCAGCAACGCCGCGUGCGGGAUGACGGCUUUCGGGUUGUAAACCGCUUUCGCCUGUGACGAAGCGUGAGUGACGGUAAUGGGUAAAGAAGCACCGGCUAACUACGUG
rnacentral:rRNA from 1 species